rnacentral:misc_RNA from 1 species
AGAUCCAGACGGCUGGAGUGCUUGGAGUUUGUACCACCAUGAUACGAGCGGUGAUAGUGAUGAAUACUCAGGGCAAGCCUCGGUUUGCUAAAUUCUACGAUUUUCAGCCUGUAGAGAAGCAGCAGGAGCUCAUUCGGAGUGUCUAUGGAGUGCUUUGCAGUCGAGCUGAGAACGUCAGCAAUUUUGUGGAGGCCGAGUCCAUCUUUG